rnacentral:rRNA from 1 species
AUGCCAGCUGCGGCGGCUGGCAGGAUGCUUGCAGAGGACGUACUGAAGUGUGAAGCCGCCUUACUCAAGUGCGGCGCUGGGUUCGAAUUCAAGGAAGAUCCCUCCAUUCGCGGCGGCGGCGAGUGCGUUGUAACCAACGUAGUCAAGUGCGACGCCGGGUUCGAAUUCAAGAAAGACAACCCCCCUACCGGCGGCGGCAAGUGCGUAGCGGUCGGCACCACUAUCAGGACCUGA